rnacentral:tmRNA from 1 species
GGGGAUGACAUGGCUUUGACAGAAAUGGUUCUUGGCUAAAAAUGGCUAUUCAGGCAUCGUAUCGUCUGCCUGCCCCGCCCUAGGCGGGUAAAUCCGUCCGAUACAACUUUAAGUGCAACCUCUAAAGGUUCUCUAGGAACUCGCUUUGCUCAACUUAAGAAUGCAAUGCCUUCUUUCGUUCCUGCAUUUGCAUAGUUCCAUUGCGACUGCCUAUUUCGCGGUCCCGUCUUGUUUAGUGAUACUCGCUACCUAAAUAAGGCGCUAUUCAGCGAGUUACGUGUAACCGAUUCCCCUGGUAUCGUUUGCAUCGACAAUUGAUCCAGGUACGUGACGGAGUUCUUUGUGAGUUUCUCAUUCCCUCAUCGACAACUUGAAACCCACUAUAAUAGUAGAUGUUUUUACCCUUCAUUUUUGGACCCCGGUUCGAUUCCGGGCAUCUCCACCA